rnacentral:rRNA from 1 species
UACGGGGGGGGCAAGCGUUGUUCGGAAUUACUGGGCGUAAAGGGCUCGUAGGCGGCCAACUAAGUCAUACGUGAAAUCCCUCGGCUUAACCGGGGAACUGCGUCUGAUACUGGAUGGCUUGAGUUCGGGAGAGGGAUGCGGAAUUCCAGGUGUAGCGGUGAAAUGCGUAGAUAUCUGGAGGAACACCGGUGGCGAAGGCGGGUCUCUGGGCAGUAACUGACGCUGAGGAGCGAAAGCGUGGGGAGCGAACAGG